UCGAUCUCUUUGUGAGAGUAUCAAAUCAGGCGGCGGUAAAUACGUAGAAGCAACUAGGCGUACUACGGCGUGUACCGGACAGCGUUGGCGUGCCGCUCUGCUAGCAGCGGAGAGCCAGAUGAGGAUGCCCGUGAUAUGAGAAAAGCUCUGUCCAGAGAUAUGGAGAUGAAAUCAGUUGUACCUCACCCUGUGACACCGGAAGACAUUGAGUAACUCGUCCUGCAGCUGGCUCCUCGGUUUUGGCGGCAGCCUGCACAUAGCAGCCCAGCUCUCCAGCAGCCUGACGGACCGACCGUGUGUCUGUUCCACGCCGGACUGGCGAGCGUGGCUCUGGGUAGGACAGCCGAGGCGCCCCAGGGCCGGGCCCCGGUGCGGAGUCUCUCCCGGGACCGGCUCUGUGUGUGACUGAAUAAACGCUUGCGGUCUCUUUUGCCGUG